GACGAACGCUGGCGGCGUGCCUAAUACAUGCAAGUCGAACGGUCUUUUCUAUGGAAGCUUGCUUCCACUGGGAAGAUAGUGGCGAACGGGUGAGUAACACGUGGGUAACCUGCCCAUAAGAGGGGGAUAACAUCCGGAAACGGGUGCUAAUACCGCAUAGGUUUCUUGGUCGCAUGAUCGAGAAAGGAAAGACGGCCUUUGUGCUGUCGCUUAUGGAGUGACCCGCGGCGUAUUAGUUAGUUGGUGAGGUAACGGCUCACCAAGACGAUGAUACGUAGCCGACCUGAGAGGGUGAUCGGCCACAUUGGGACUGAGACACGGCCCAAACUCCUACGGGAGGCAGCAGCAGGGAAUCUUCCGCAAUGGACGAAAGUCUGACGGAGCAACGCCGCGUGAGUGAAGAAGGUUUUCGGAUCGUAAAACUCUGUUGUCAGAGAAGAACAAGUCGGAGAGUAACUGCUCCGGCCUUGACGGUAUCUGACCAGAAAGCCACGGCUAACUACGUGCCAGCCGCCGCCGUAAGAC
rnacentral:rRNA from 1 species